UACGUAGGGUGCAAGCGUUGUCCGGAAUUAUUGGGCGUAAAGAGCUCGUAGGCGGUUUGUCACGUCGGAUGUGAAAACCUGAGGCUCAACCUCAGGCCUGCAUUCGAUACGGGCAGACUAGAGUACUGUAGGGGAGACUGGAAUUCCUGGUGUAGCGGUGAAAUGCGCAGAUAUCAGGAGGAACACCGGUGGCGAAGGCGGGUCUCUGGGCAGUAACUGACGCUGAGGAGCGAAAGCGUGGGGAGCGAACAGG
rnacentral:rRNA from 1 species